rnacentral:rRNA from 1 species
UACGAGGGGGGCAAAUGUUGUUCGGAAUCACUGGGCGUAAAGGGAGCGUAGGCGGGUUCUUAAGUAAGGUGUUUAAUCCCGGGGCCCAACCCCGGACCGGCACUUUAAACUGGGAAUCUUGAAUAGUGGAGAGGUCGGUGGAAUUGGGGGUGUAGCGGUGGAAUACGUAGAGAUCCCCAAGAACACCAGUUGCGAAGGCGGCCGACUGGACACAUAUUGACGCUGAGGCUCGAAAGCAUGGGGAGCAAACAGG